UGCAGGUCCCACUUCCUGCUCAGCAGUGACCCUCCUGAUCUGGUCCUUCACCUCCCAGAACCAGGACCUCAGACCCACCAGCAGCCAGCCGUGCCUUCAGCAGCUCCACAUCGACCAAAGACUGACACCUGCACAGGUGAGGGGGAGGAGCCUGUCAGCUGUCUCCAACCUGCAGCCAGGCGGCGCUGCAGAGAGACUAAAGAACUCCACUUCCCAACAUGCAACACUCACAAAUCCAAGAACCAAUACAGAACCGGACUGGAACUGAGGCGCUUUAGUCCCAUCGAUCACACUGAUUAAUGAUCGCUGAUUAUUGGUCACUGAUUAUUGAUCACUGAUUACUGAUCGCUGAUUACUGAUUAUUGAUCAGAGAUAAAUGGAACACUGAUUGUUUUUUCACUGAAAUAUAAAAAAAACAACACAUUUAUUUUAGAAUUUAAAACACUGAUUGUCUAAUAAAUUGAAUCCUUUGGUUGAUUUUUACGGAUAAGAUUCCUUUCAGAGUUCAGAGACUUAAAUUCUUGGUUUUCUAGACGUUCUGACUCAGUAGCUGACAGACCAACAGUCCAAACCCCAGAGGGAACAUCAGCGUUUGUGCAAUACUCACAAGAAGGAGCAAAUAAAUGGAAUUACAGCAGAACAGCUGAUUUACAUUUACAGAGUUUCUAGAUUUUAGUUUCAUACAUCAGACUCCUCCAGAUGUUCUGGUUGCUCAGAACUAUUAGAGAUGAUAGAAGAAGAACCCAGGAUCAUCUAGAAAAGGUUCUGAACAGAAACCAGAUCCAGUGUUCAGACUGAGACACCUGGAUGGAUAUAAAACUGGUCUGGUGUCAGUUUUUACCAGAACUCAGAUGUUUCUCCUCCUAAAUGUCAUGGUUCUAUCUGCUGGACUGAUGAAGUUCUGGAAAAGUCCAUUAGAAAGUGAUAAAUCUGGACCCAGAAACAGGAACUGGACAGUUUCCAAGAAAUUCAGAUAAAUUUAAAGUAAUUUUAUACAAAUUUGGAGUCAUUUUGGACAAUCUGAGUAAAUUUGAACAAACCAUGAGUCAUCUCAGAACAUUUCAAGUCAUUUUGGUCAAAUUUCAGUCAUUCUCCACAAAUUUAUGACAAAUUUUGAGUCAUUUGAAACCAUUUUUGAGAUGUGGACAGUUUAAAUAAUAAUCUUAAACAAAGGAUGAGUCACUCUGGAACAUUUGAGUCAUUUUGGUCAAACCUCACUCAUUUUGAAAAGAUUUUCACUGUUUUUUUUUUUUUUUUUUACAGUUUGUCUUUUUAUUGACAAAUUGAACUUCACUUGGACUCUUGAAUUUCCUUCUGCACUUCCUGUUUUGUCCUCGUCUCCCUGAACAUCUGAACUAAAGUGUUUAUCUGCUGCACUGAUGAAGUUCUGAAAAGGUCCAUUAAAAAGUGAUAAAUCUGGACCCUCCUCUAUGGACUUCAAGGAUCUGGAAUGUUCUAAGUGAGACUAAAGUUAAAGACUGGAAGCAGGAAGGAGAACGUCCCCUGGAGAAAGUUCUAGAGUAGACCUCCCGACAACUGGAGAAAGUUCUAGAGUAGACCUUUCUCCAGUGGACAUUCUCCUCUAUGGACUUCAAGGACCUGGAACUCUGGAGAUAUUCCCAGUAUGGAGGUAGAACUCUGAUCACUGAUAAAGAACCAGCUGGUUCUGAGGAGAUCUGACUGGUUUUCUGGAUCUUCUGGGGUAUUUGGUCUGUCUGUGUCUGAACAUUAACCUGAAGCUUCCUCUCAGAUCAUUUUUAUUUCUUUCUUCACGUCUGAACUAAUGGCAACAAUAAAAACAACCAGAAUUAAAUGAUUGUUGGACAAUCUUCCAAACGGCGAAUCUGAACACAAGACCUCAAACGUCAGGUGGUGCUGAGUCCAAGAACAAGAGAACUUCCUGAGACUUUCCUGAGCUGGUUCUGGACCUGCAGUUUACCAGAACCAGCUGUCUGAGCCGUGAACCUUGAGUUUGUUCUGAUUGCACUAAAGCUCUGCUCUGGUCCAAGAAGACGACGACGGACUGGAGGCCUUUUGAUUUUUCUUGUUUUUAUUCUUGUGAGAUCCUUCAGUUUGAUUUUUGUUGUGAACAUUUGUGUUUGUUGUGUGACGAUGGUUUGGGAUGACAUUUAAGCCAUCGUAGGUUUUCAUGAACUCACUCUGCACUUUGAUUCCUUUAGCUGGGACAGUUUAGUGACGGCAGACUAUUCUAGGUUUCUGGCUUCCUGUCAACCUGUCGGCAGGUUCUCUAAACGUUCUCCAGCUUCUCCUGCUGCCAAAUCCUCACGUUGUGUCUUUAAAGGUGGAAGGAAACGGGAUGAAGCCGUUUCUUUCUCCAGAUGGACGAACCGAAUGUUUGGCUGCGAUGUUCUUCAAACUUUACUGGAACCUUAAGAUGAAUAUAGUUUUCUGAGUGAAUAAUUUUGUAAUAAAUCAGAUUU
ensembl:lncRNA